rnacentral:rRNA from 1 species
UACGGAGGGUGCAAGCGUUAUCCGGAUUCAUUGGGUUUAAAGGGUGCGUAGGUGGAAUUAUAAGUCAGUGGUGAAAUUUUGCGGCUCAACCGUAACACUGCCAUUGAAACUGUAGUUCUUGAGAUAGAUCGAGGUAAGCGGAAUGAGUAAUGUAGCGGUGAAAUGCAUAGAUAUUACUCAGAACACCGAUUGCGUAGGCAGCUUACCAGGCCUUAUCUGACACUGAUGCACGAAAGCGUGGGUAGCGAACAGG